CAGUCGCCGCGGGAAUACGUAGGGUGCAAGCGUUAAUCGGAAUUACUGGGCGUAAAGAGUGCGCAGGCGGUUAUAUAAGACAGAUGUGAAAUCCCCGGGCUCAACCUGGGAACUGCAUUUGUGACUGUAUAGCUAGAGUACGGCAGAGGGGGAUGGAAUUCCGCGUGUAGCAGUGAAAUGCGUAGAUAUGCGGAGGAACACCGAUGGCGAAGGCAAUCCCCUGGGCCUGUACUGACGCUCAUGCACGAAAGCGUGGGGAGCAAACAGGAUUAGAUACCCCAGUAGUCCCUGUCUCUUAUAC
rnacentral:rRNA from 1 species